GGGUUGUGAGGUUAAGCGACUAAGCGUACACGGUGGAUGCCCUGGCAGUCAGAGGCGAUGAAGGACGUGCUAAUCUGCGAUAAGCGUCGGUAAGGUGAUAUGAACCGUUAUAACCGGCGAUUUCCGAAUGGGGAAACCCAGUGUGUUUCGACACACUAUCAUUAACUGAAUCCAUAGGUUAAUGAGGCGAACCGGGGGAACUGAAACAUCUAAGUACCCCGAGGAAAAGAAAUCAACCGAGAUUCCCCCAGUAGCGGCGAGCGAACGGGGAGCAGCCCAGAGCCUGAAUCAGUGUGUGUGUUAGUGGAAGCGUCUGGAAAGGCGCGCGAUACAGGGUGACAGCCCCGUACACAAAAAUGCACAUGCUGUGAGCUCGAUGAGUAGGGCGGGACACGUGGUAUCCUGUCUGAAUAUGGGGGGACCAUCCUCCAAGGCUAAAUACUCCUGACUGACCGAUAGUGAACCAGUACCGUGAGGGAAAGGCGAAAAGAACCCCGGCGAGGGGAGUGAAAAAGAACCUGAAACCGUGUACGUACAAGCAGUGGGAGCACGCUUAGGCGUGUGACUGCGUACCUUUUGUAUAAUGGGUCAGCGACUUAUAUUCUGUAGCAAGGUUAACCGAAUAGGGGAGCCGAAGGGAAACCGAGUCUUAACUGGGCGUUAAGUUGCAGGGUAUAGACCCGAAACCCGGUGAUCUAGCCAUGGGCAGGUUGAAGGUUGGGUAACACUAACUGGAGGACCGAACCGACUAAUGUUGAAAAAUUAGCGGAUGACUUGUGGCUGGGGGUGAAAGGCCAAUCAAACCGGGAGAUAGCUGGUUCUCCCCGAAAGCUAUUUAGGUAGCGCCUCGUGAAUUCAUCUCCGGGGGUAGAGCACUGUUUCGGCAAGGGGGUCAUCCCGACUUACCAACCCGAUGCAAACUGCGAAUACCGGAGAAUGUUAUCACGGGAGACACACGGCGGGUGCUAACGUCCGUCGUGAAGAGGGAAACAACCCAGACCGCCAGCUAAGGUCCCAAAGUCAUGGUUAAGUGGGAAACGAUGUGGGAAGGCCCAGACAGCCAGGAUGUUGGCUUAGAAGCAGCCAUCAUUUAAAGAAAGCGUAAUAGCUCACUGGUCGAGUCGGCCUGCGCGGAAGAUGUAACGGGGCUAAACCAUGCACCGAAGCUGCGGCAGCGACACUAUGUGUUGUUGGGUAGGGGAGCGUUCUGUAAGCCUGUGAAGGUGUGCUGUGAGGCAUGCUGGAGGUAUCAGAAGUGCGAAUGCUGACAUAAGUAACGAUAAAGCGGGUGAAAAGCCCGCUCGCCGGAAGACCAAGGGUUCCUGUCCAACGUUAAUCGGGGCAGGGUGAGUCGACCCCUAAGGCGAGGCCGAAAGGCGUAGUCGAUGGGAAACAGGUUAAUAUUCCUGUACUUGGUGUUACUGCGAAGGGGGGACGGAGAAGGCUAUGUUGGCCGGGCGACGGUUGUCCCGGUUUAAGCGUGUAGGCUGGUUUUCCAGGCAAAUCCGGAAAAUCAAGGCUGAGGCGUGAUGACGAGGCACUACGGUGCUGAAGCAACAAAUGCCCUGCUUCCAGGAAAAGCCUCUAAGCAUCAGGUAACAUCAAAUCGUACCCCAAACCGACACAGGUGGUCAGGUAGAGAAUACCAAGGCGCUUGAGAGAACUCGGGUGAAGGAACUAGGCAAAAUGGUGCCGUAACUUCGGGAGAAGGCACGCUGAUAUGUAGGUGAAGUCCCUCGCGGAUGGAGCUGAAAUCAGUCGAAGAUACCAGCUGGCUGCAACUGUUUAUUAAAAACACAGCACUGUGCAAACACGAAAGUGGACGUAUACGGUGUGACGCCUGCCCGGUGCCGGAAGGUUAAUUGAUGGGGUUAGCCGCAAGGCGAAGCUCUUGAUCGAAGCCCCGGUAAACGGCGGCCGUAACUAUAACGGUCCUAAGGUAGCGAAAUUCCUUGUCGGGUAAGUUCCGACCUGCACGAAUGGCGUAAUGAUGGCCAGGCUGUCUCCACCCGAGACUCAGUGAAAUUGAACUCGCUGUGAAGAUGCAGUGUACCCGCGGCAAGACGGAAAGACCCCGUGAACCUUUACUAUAGCUUGACACUGAACAUUGAGCCUUGAUGUGUAGGAUAGGUGGGAGGCUUAGAAGUGUGGACGCCAGUCUGCAUGGAGCCGACCUUGAAAUACCACCCUUUAAUGUUUGAUGUUCUAACGUUGACCCGUAAUCCGGGUUGCGGACAGUGUCUGGUGGGUAGUUUGACUGGGGCGGUCUCCUCCUAAAGAGUAACGGAGGAGCACGAAGGUUGGCUAAUCCUGGUCGGACAUCAGGAGGUUAGUGCAAUGGCAUAAGCCAGCUUGACUGCGAGCGUGACGGCGCGAGCAGGUGCGAAAGCAGGUCAUAGUGAUCCGGUGGUUCUGAAUGGAAGGGCCAUCGCUCAACGGAUAAAAGGUACUCCGGGGAUAACAGGCUGAUACCGCCCAAGAGUUCAUAUCGACGGCGGUGUUUGGCACCUCGAUGUCGGCUCAUCACAUCCUGGGGCUGAAGUAGGUCCCAAGGGUAUGGCUGUUCGCCAUUUAAAGUGGUACGCGAGCUGGGUUUAGAACGUCGUGAGACAGUUCGGUCCCUAUCUGCCGUGGGCGCUGGAGAACUGAGGGGGGCUGCUCCUAGUACGAGAGGACCGGAGUGGACGCAUCACUGGUGUUCGGGUUGUCAUGCCAAUGGCACUGCCCGGUAGCUAAAUGCGGAAGAGAUAAGUGCUGAAAGCAUCUAAGCACGAAACUUGCCCCGAGAUGAGUUCUCCCUGACUCCUUGAGAGUCCUGAAGGAACGUUGAAGACGACGACGUUGAUAGGCCGGGUGUGUAAGCGCAGCGAUGCGUUGAGCUAACCGGUACUAAUGAACCGUGAGGCUUAACCUUACAACGCCGAAG
rnacentral:rRNA from 1 species